rnacentral:misc_RNA from 1 species
CUUUUGAAUUGUGUCGCUACGCUUUUUAUAAUGACAUCCCCAAUGGGAUGACAGUCACGUGACAGUUCAUUCCGGCGGGAAUCGCAAUGCUGCAGGUUUUUAGAGUUUCCAUGAGAGAACGUGGAUUUUGAUGAUUACAGGUUAUGUUGAGUCAUGGACACAAAAGCGUCCGCGCCUGUGCGAACUCGCAAGAGGAGGAAGAUAUGUGAAUGGUACGAGAUGACGUGAUCGACGUGCGUGUGUGAAUAUGUGCAAAGGAUGAUGCUGAAGGGGCGGUUUUCCAUCCAAAUAGGCACAGUGGUUAUUAGUUGUGUAACUCCAGUUUCUGGUCUAUGGAAAGUGGUGAAACGUCUUCACGAAAUACAAUUUCAUU